rnacentral:rRNA from 1 species
UACGUAGGGGGCAAGCGUUGUCCGGAGUUACUGGGCGUAAAGCGCACGCAUGCGGUCUCUUAAGUUUGGUGUGACAGUUGGUGGCUUAACUGCCAAAGUGCUUCGAAAACUGAGAGACUUGAGGGCUUCAGAGGGACACGGAAUUCCGGGUGGAGUGGUGAAAUGCGUAGAGAUCCGGAGGAACACCAAAGGCGAAGGCAGUGUCCUGGGGAGUACCUGACGCUCAGGUGCGAAAGCCAGGGGAGCGAACGGG